GUAAUUUGUCCUUCAAAAAAAAUCUUUUGCAGAUGAAAAGAACCGGAGAAAAAUGGAAACUCGUGAUGAGAAGAAGCGGGCCUACGCUUGAGAAUUGAACUAUCCGCCCAGCCCACCGGCGGCCUCACAUUCAUCAUCGUAGGCAUAGAUAAGGCUACAUCUCCAUGACUACAUACAUCACUAUGAUUGGUGAUUGAUUGAUGAAGAACAAGAAGAACAACCUCAAACCCUAGAAAGAACUUUCUAGAACUUACGUUUCUGCAAACUGAAUCAACCAUUUUCAGCAUCAUCAUCAUCCGAAGCUGUAUGAGUAGUCAGGUAAUUCAGCUAGAGGACGAUCGGUGGUGGUUCAAGGGCAAGCAACCAUGGGUCUGGUUAUCAUUUCUCAGCCACCGUCUUCGUCUGUACACUUCACUCUUUCUCCAUUACUUCUUCCCCAAUCUCAUUCUUCUUCUUUACGCCGUCGCUUCUCUGCUCGUCGAUGGUUGAAUCCACAAUUUACCCCACGCAGGCUGGAAAGUUUUAAUUAUAGAUGUUCAAUCACAGACACUGAAGUCUUCAAUCAUGUUGACACUGAUGAAGAGGUUCAGGCAGAAUUUUCAACUGCUGCUUCGAAUUGUUCAGUCCCAAUUGUUCAUAUCAAAUCUGAUAUCCUCGAGACUGAAUCUUUGAAUUUACUGGCUGAAGACACUUUUGUUGACACUCUUUUGACAACGUUGCCAGUCUUAUCAGAGGAGGAGCAGAAUGUUCUUGCUGCAACUCCUGCCCAUCCAGCGGGGUUGUACGCCCUGUAUGCUGGUUGCAUGAUUGGGAAUCUGGUGGAACAGCUUUGGAAUUUUGCUUGGCCUGCUGCUAUUGCAUUGCUUCAUCCAAGCCUUCUUCCAGUGGUGGUCAUGGGUUUCUUCACUAAGGUUGCAGUAAUUGUUGGAGGUCCUUUGGUCGGUAAACUUAUGGAUCAUUUUCCCAGAGUACCUGCAUAUAAUUGUUUGACUAUUGUCCAGGCAGCUGCUCAGCUGUUGUCAGUUGGAAUGAUAAUUCAUGCCCAUACUGUUCAUCCCUCCCAUGCAUCAUCAAUGCUUCCCCGUCCUUGGUUUGUUGUAUUAGUUUUAGCUGGUGCUGUCGAGAGGCUAUCUGGAUUGGCUCUAGGGGUUGCAAUGGAGCGUGAUUGGGUUGUACAGUUAGCGGGAACAAAUAGGCCUAUUGCUCUUGCCCAGGCAAAUGCUGUUCUUAGUCGAAUUGAUCUUCUCUGUGAGAUUGCUGGAGCAUCAUUGUUUGGCAUUCUUCUAUCUAAAUAUGAACCUGUGACCUGCUUGAAGCUUGCUGCUGGUUUAAUGAUAUGGGCACUGCCUGUUGUGGUUGUUCUCAUGUGGUUAACCAACAAGCUUUCUAUGGGUGUUCUUGACCGAGCCAAAUCUCCACAAACAUGUUGCACAAGUGCCAUGGGAGGACCUCAACUGGAUACUGAGAAUAUAGUGAAAAUGAGCGUGGAGGCUAUCAAGCAUGGGUGGGUUGAGUACAUGCAGCAGCCUGUGCUCCCUGCUAGCCUAGCAUAUGUGCUUCUUUGCUUUAAUGUUGUCCUUGCUCCUGGUGGGUUGAUGACGGCAUUUUUAACACAACGUGGUUUAAAUCCAUCGAUCAUUGGGGGUUUUAGUGGACUAUGUGCUUUCAUGGGUGUUGCAGCGACAUUUGUAUCUGCAUACAUGGUCAAGAGACUUGGUAUUCUGAAGGCUGGAGCAGUUGGGUUGAUAUUACAGUCUUUACUUCUUACCAUUGCUGUUGCUGUAUGUUGGAGUGGACCUUUUACUUCACAGAGUCCACUUCUAUUCUUCUUGUGUUUGAUUGUAUUGUCAAGAUUGGGUCACAUGUCAUAUGAUGUCGUAGGGGCACAGAUUCUUCAAACUGGGAUCCCAGCAUCCAAAGCAAAUCUAAUUGGGACAACAGAGGUUUCAAUUUCAAGUUUGGCAGAGUCUGUAAUGUUGGGAGUUGCAAUAAUCGCAAAUGAUGUUUCAUCUUUUGGAUUUCUUGCGAUGCUGUCGCUUUUAUCGGUGGUUGGUGCAACGUGGUUGUUCUGCCGAUGGCUGGUGAAUCCUACAGAUGCACAAAGAAGUCUUUUCUCUUUUGAUCCUCUCUUUUGAUUCCACAUUUGCACAGGUGGUAAUCUUAACAUAUACUGACUAGAGCAAAGAUAUUGUUAUCUGCCACUUUCAAUGGCAACACAACAAUUAUAUCAAUUCUAGAAGAAGCCUACCAAGGACUAGUCGGUCAGAGGUGCAGGAUUUGGCUUUCUCCAUUGAGGUCGGUCUUUCAUCUCUUAUAUAUUUGUUUUGGGAAUCUUCUUGAAUUAUUAUUACUGUUAAGUUUUGUUGUAUACAUUUUUAAUGCACUGUUCAACAUUAGUACGAGGUACCAAAAAAAAAAAAACCUUGCGGCAGUGUUGUCUAUUCUUUUCUUAAAGAAUGGUACAGCAACUUGCAGAAAGGAACCCUCCUAUAGCAGGGAUAUGAAAAAUGUUUGGGACCCCACAAAAGAGAAUCUCCAGACUUCCAUUGAUGUAUUGACUAUUGAUAAGUUUAAAUUUUUUUUUGAAAAUUGUAUCUGACAGUGACAUGAAUAACUUAAAUCAUUUUAAGACUUGUGAGAUUGUGUUU